rnacentral:rRNA from 1 species
ACUCCUACGGGAGGCAGCAGUGGGGAAUAUUGCACAAUGGGCGCAAGCCUGAUGCAGCAACGCCGUGUGAGUGAAGAAGGUUUUCGGAUCGUAAACUCUGUCCUAAGGGAAGAAAAAAUGACGGUACCUUAGGAGGAAGCCCCGGCUAACUACGUGCCAGCAGCCGCGGUAAUACGUAGGGGGCAAGCGUUUAUCCGGAAUCACUGGGCGUAAAGGGUGCGUAGGCGGCUUAGCAAGCCAGGGUGAAAGGCAUUGGCUCAACCAAUGUAAGCCUUUGGAACUGUUAAGCUUGAGUGCAGGAGAGGUAAGUGGAAUUCCUAGUGUAGAGGUGAAAUUCGUAGAUAUUAGGAGGAACACCAGUGGCGAAGGCGACUUACUGGACUGUAACUGACGCUGAUGCACGAAAAGCGUGGGUAGCGAACAGGAUUAGAUACCCUGGUAGGUCAGUC